AUUCUCUAACAGUAAAGAAUCUGCCUGCAAUGCAGGAAACCCAGGUUCAAUCCCUGGAU
rnacentral:tRNA from 1 species